AGGUAAAGUUAUAAAGGGCAUAUGAUGGAUGCCUUGGCACUGAGAGGCGAAGAAGGACGUGGCAAGCUGCGAAAAGCUCUGGGUAGACGCAAGCAGUCGACAAACCAGAGAUAUCCGAAUGGGGCAACCCUUGUAGAGUCAUAUCUACAAAUCCUUAUCUGAACACAUAGGGUAAGGAGGCGAACGCAGGGAACUGAAACAUCUAAGUACCUGUAGGAGGAGAAAGAAAAUUCGAUUUCCUAAGUAGCGGCGAGUGAAAUGGAAAGAGCCUAAACCAACGGCUUCGGCAGUUGGGGUUGCGGGACUGCAUAAGUAGUAUUUUCUGGAGAUAGUCGAAGGAUCUGGGAAGGUCCACCGAAGAUGGUGAGAGUCCAGUAGACGAAAUUGAAGGGAAGCGAAGCAGUAUCCCAAGUACCACGAGACACGAGAAACCUUGUGGGAAUCCGGGGGGACCACCCCCCAAGGCUAAAUACUCCUCAGUGACCGAUAGUGAACAAGUACCGUGAGGGAAAGGUGAAAAGAAACCCGUGAGGGAAGUGAAAUAGAACCUGAAAUCAUAUGCUUACAAGCAGUCGGAGCGAAAGUGACGGCGUACUUUUUGUAGAACGGACCAGCGAGUUACGGUGUUAAGCGAGGUUAAUGUGUUCAGCACAGGAGCCGUAGGGAAACCAAGUCUGAAAAGGGCAAAAGUUUAGCGCUGUAGACCCGAAACCGGGUGAUCUAUCCAUGUCCAGGUUGAAGCGGAAGUAAAAUUUCGUGGAGGACCGAACCGACUUAAGUUAAAAAUUGAGCGGAUGAGGUGUGGAUAGGGGUGAAAUUCCAAUCGAACCCGGAGAUAGCUGGUUCUCCCCGAAAUAGCUUUAGGGCUAGCCUCAGGAGAGCAUUUAUGGAGGUAGAGCACUGAAUGGGCUAGGGGCCUUAACAGGUUACCGAACCUUAUCAAACUCCGAAUGCCAUAAAUGUAUACUGGGAGUCAGACUGUGGGUGACAAGGUUCAUAGUCGAGAGGGAAACAGCCCAGACCUACAACUAAGGUCCCAAAGUGUGAACUAAGUGGAAAAGGAUGUAGAAAUGCAAAGACAGCCAGGAUGUUGGCUCAGAAGCAGCCACCAUUUAAAGAGUGCGUAAUAGCUCACUGGUCGAGUGGAUCUGCGCCGAAAAUGUAACGGGGCUCAAGUUCAUCACCGAAGUUUAGGCAACAGUAAUGUUGGGUAGGGGAGCGUUGUAUACAGCGGAGAAGGUAAGUCGGAAGGCGAACUGGAGCGUAUACAAGUGAGAAUGCUGGUAUGAGUAUGCGAGAAGGCAGGUGAGAAUCCUGCCCGCCAAAAACCUAAGGUUUCCUGGGGAAGGCUCGUCCGCCCAGGGUAAGCCGGGACCUAAGGCGAGGCCGAAAGGCGUAGUCGAUGGACAAUUGAUUGAUAAUUCAAUGCCACUUAUAUCUCAUUUGAGGAUGGAGUUACGCAGGAGGAUAGGCGAUCAGGGAGUUGGUUUUCCCUGUUUAAGCAAGUAGGGCGUGUUGUAGGCAAAUCCGCAACACAAAAGCCUGAGAAGUGAUGACGACCGAAAAUAGUAGGGAAGUCGUUGAUUCCGCACUGACAAGAAAAGCUUCUAACGAGAGAAAUAGGUGCCCGUACCGUAAACCGACACAGGCAGGAGGGGUGAGAAGCCCAAGGCGCGCGAGAGAACCUUCGUUAAGGAACUCGGCAAAAUAACUCCGUAACUUAGGGAGAAGGAGUGCCGCAUUAGGGUGAUGGACAUACGUCCUAAGCUUGAAGUGGUCGCAGAGAAAUGGCCCAGGCGACUGUUUAUCAAAAACACAGGUGCCUGCAAAAUCGAUGAGAUGAAGUAUAGGUGCUGACGCCUGCCCAGUGCUGGAAGGUUAAGGGAAAGAGUUAGCGCAAGCGAAGCUUAGAACUGAAGCCCCAGUAAACGGCGGCCGUAACUAUAACGGUCCUAAGGUAGCGAAAUUCCUUGUCGGGUAAGUUCCGACCCGCACGAAAGGCGUAACGAUCUGGGCACUGUCUCAACGAAGGACUCGGCGAAAUUGUAGUGCCAGUGAAAAUGCUGGCUACCUGCGGCAGGACAGAAAGACCCCGUGGAGCUUUACUGUAACCUGAUAUUGGGUUUCGGUGCUUUAUGUACAGGAUAAGUGGGAGACUUUGAAGUAUGGACGCUAGUUUGUAUGGAGUCACUGGUGGGAUACCACUCCUAAAGUACUGAAAUUCUAACCUAGGUCCGUUAUCCGGAUCGGGGACAUUGUCAGGUGGACAGUUUGACUGGGGCGGUCGCCUCCCAAAGAGUAACGGAGGCGCCCAAAGGUUGGUUCAGGAUGGUUGGAAAUCAUCCGUAGAGUGUAAAGGCAGAAACCAACUUGACUGAGAGAGUGACGAUUCGAUCAGGUACGAAAGUAGGGCUUAGUGAUCCGGCGGUUCCGAGUGGAAGGGCCGUCGCUCAACGGAUAAAAGCUACCCCGGGGAUAACAGGCUUAUCUCCCCCAAGAGUUCACAUCGACGGGGAGGUUUGGCACCUCGAUGUCGGCUCAUCGCAUCCUGGGGCUGAAGUAGGUCCCAAGGGUUGGGCUGUUCGCCCAUUAAAGCGGUACGCGAGCUGGGUUCAGAACGUCGUGAGACAGUUCGGUCCCUAUCCGCCGCAGGCGUAGGAAAUUUGAAGAGAUCUGCUCCUAGUACGAGAGGACCGGAGUGGACAAACCAAUGGUGUACCAGUUGUCGUGCCAACGGCAUAGCUGGGUAGCUAAGUUUGGAAGGGAUAAACGCUGAAAGCAUCUAAGCGUGAAGCCCACUUUAAGAUGAGAUUUCCCGUAGUUUACUACUAAGAUCACUGGAAGAAGACCAGUUUGAUAGGCUGGAGGUGUAAGUGCAGCAAUGCGUUCAGCUGACCAGUACUAAUCGAUCGAGGACUUUACCUAAA
rnacentral:rRNA from 1 species